UUUAUUUGAUCGUGCGGUACUACGUGGAUAACCGUAGGAAUUCUAGAGCUAAUACAUGCACCCAAAAUUUUAUUUGUUACACUACUUCUUUGUGUUUUCAUAUCAUAAGGAGAAGGAAACGGGGAUUUAUUAGAUCAAAAACCCAACGUACUUUAAGUACGAGGCGGGAGGAAUCAUAAUAACUUUUCGAAUCGCAAGGCUUUUAUAGUGGCCGGCGAUAUAUCAUUCAAAUUUUUGCCCUAUCAACUUUCGAUGGUAGGGUAGUGGCCUACCCUGGUGUUGACGGGUGACGGAGAAUUAGGGUUUGAUUCCGGAGAGGGAGCCUGAGAAAUGGCUACCACAUCCAAGGAAGGCAGCCGGCGCGCAAAAUACCCCAUCCUGAUUAAGGGAGGGAGCGACAAGAAAUAACGAUAAGAGGCUUUUUCAAGUGUUCUUAUUGGAAAAAGGGUAAUUUACACCCCUUCUCGAGAAUCCCUUGGAGG
rnacentral:rRNA from 1 species